rnacentral:hammerhead_ribozyme from 1 species
AUCCAGCUGACGAGUCCCAAAUAGAACAGGAAGUGAGUCCUGGAU